UUAAGCCUGAAAUGUUCGGAGUAUCCUAUUUUUUGAACCUACAUUUGACAUAAGGGAGUCUAGAGUUUGAAAGUGGGAUGCCAGGCCACAAUUUAAUUCCGUUUUGGAUUUUUAAUUCAUAAUAACGGCGGUGGAAGGCAGAAGCUUUUAGCAGGACACCCACCUGGCUGAGGCUAGGUGUCAAAAUAUAGGUGAACGGCAUUUUGGGUAUUAA
rnacentral:other from 1 species